rnacentral:rRNA from 1 species
UAGUAUAGCAAUCUAUACGGUGAAACUGCGAAUGGCUCAUUAAAUCAGUUAUCGUUUAUUUGAUAGUACCUUACUACUUGGAUAACCGUGGUAAUUCUAGAGCUAAUACAUGCUAAAAACCUCGACUUCGGAAGGGGUGUAUUUAUUAGAUAAAAAACCAAUGCCCUUCGGGGCUCCUUGGUGAUUCAUAAUAACUUAACGAAUCGCAUGGCCUUGUGCCGGCGAUGGUUCAUUCAAAUUUCUGCCCUAUCAACUUUCGAUGGUAGGAUAGUGGCCUACCAUGGUUUCAACGGGUAACGGGGAAUUAGGGUUCUAUUCCGGAGAGGGAGCCUGAGAAACGGCUGCCACAUCCAAGGAAGGCAGCAGGCGCGCAAAUUACCCAAUCCCGACACGGGGAGGUAGUGACAAUAAAUACUGAUACAGGGCUCUUUUGGGUCUUGUAAUUGGAAUGAGUACAAUUUAAAUCCCUUAACGAGGAACAAUUGGAGGGCAAGUCUGGUGCCAGCAGCCGCGGUAAUUCCAGCUCCAAUAGCGUAUAUUAAAGUUGUUGCAGUUAAAAAGCUCGUAGUUGAACCUUGAGCCUGGCUGGCCGGUCCGCCUCACCGCGUGCACUGGUCCGGCCGGGUUUUUCCUUCUGGGGAGCCGCAUGCCCUUCACUGGGUGUGUCGGGGAACCAGGACUUUUACUUUGAAAAAAUUAGAGUGUUCAAAGCAGGCCUAUGCUCGAAUACAUUAGCAUGGAAUAAUAGAAUAGGACGUGUGGUUCUAU